GCUGGGGGCAGUGGCGCAGGCCUGUGAUCCCAGCAGCUGGGAGGCUGAGGCAGGAGGAUCGAGAGUUCAAAGCCAGCCUCAGCAACAGAGAGGCACUUAGGUUGUCCUCAACCCUUCGAUCCUCCUGCCUCAG
rnacentral:sRNA from 1 species